rnacentral:rRNA from 1 species
GCUCCUACGGGGGGCAGCAGUGGGGAAUAUUGGGCAAUGGGCGCAAGCCUGACCCAGCAACGCCGCGUGAAGGAAGAAGGCUUUCUGGUUGUAAACUUCUUUUCUCAGGGACGAAGCAAGUGACGGUACCUGAGGAAUAAGCCACGGCUAACUACGUGCCAGCAGCCGCGGUAAUACGUAGGUGGCAAGCGUUAUCCGGAUUUACUGGGUGUAAAGGGAGCGUAGCUGGGUUGUU